rnacentral:rRNA from 1 species
AGCGAACGCUGGCGGCAGGCCUAACACAUGCAAGUCGAACGAAGCCUUCGGGCUUAGUGGCGGACGGGUGAGUAACACGUGGGAACGUACCUUUUGGUUCGGAACAACUCAGGGAAACUUGAGCUAAUACCGGAUGAGCCCUUAGGGGGAAAGAUUUAUCGCCGAAAGAGCGGCCCGCGUUAGAUUAGCUAGUUGGUGAGGUAAAGGCUCACCAAGGCAACGAUCUAUAGCUGGUCUGAGAGGAUGAUCAGCCACACUGGGGCUGAGACCCGGCCCAGACUCCUACGGGAGGCAGCAGUGGGGAAUCUUUCGCAAUGGGCGAAAGCCUGACGCAGCCAUGCCGCGUGAAUGAUGAAGGUCUUAGGAUUGUAAAAUUCUUUUACCAGGGACGAUAAUGACGGUACCUGGAGAAAAAGCCCCGGCUAACUUCGUGCCAGCCGCCGCCGCAGUAA